rnacentral:rRNA from 1 species
GAUGAACGCUGGCGGCGUGCCUAAUACAUGCAAGUCGAGCGAACAGACGAGGAGCUUGCUCCCCUGACGUUAGCGGCGGACGGGUGAGUAACACGUGGAUAACCUACCUAUCAGACUGGGAUAACUUCGGGAAACCGGAGCUAAUACCGGAUAAUAUAUUGCACCGCAUGGUUCAAUAGUGAAAGACGGUUUUGCUGUCACUUAUAGAUGGAUCAGCGCCGCAUUAGCUAGUUGGUGAGGUAACGGCUUACCAAGGCGACGAUGCGUAGCCGACCUGAGAGGGUGAUCGGCCACACUGGAACUGAGACACGGUCCAGACUCCUACGGGAGGCAGCAGUCGGGAAUCUUCCGCAAGGGGGGAAAGCCUGAUAGAGCAACGCCGCGUGAGUGAUGAAGGAGUUCGGAUGGGAAAGCGCUGUUGUUAGGAAAGAACAAAAGCGUAAUUACCUAGGCACGUCUUGACGGUACCGAAACAAAAAGCCACGGCUAACUACGUG